ACCUGAGUGGCUGAGUAGGUUAAACGUCUGACUUUGGCUCAGGUCAUGAUCUCAUGGUUUGUGGGUUCGAGCCCCACAUCGGGCU
rfam:Felis catus isolate Cinnamon breed Abyssinian chromosome A3, whole genome shotgun sequence.